UUCUGUCUAAAUUUAUAACAUUCACGUGACAAGGAAAUACCUUUGUUCUGUUCUCCACAGGUGCCAGUUUGAGUAACGAUAUCACUAAAUACUUCUGGUUUCAUCAUUCCCAAGGCGACACAAUGACGGUUCAGGAUCCAGUCAAAAUGAAUCUCUGUGCUGCUCUUUGGACUGUUGUGUCUUAUGUGAUUGCUGAUAUGGAGGAGAAGGUACCAGUGUAAUUCAGAAAUAAAUCAAGAAAAAGUAUUGAUUGUUUUAGCACAGACUAGGAAUGUAUCUGAUCUAACUCUGUGAUGAAACUCUAGGUUUCUUCCAAAAACUAAACUUUUCUUGAUUCAACUCUGAACAUGUCCUUUUAUCAUGUAUAUGUAUUUUUGAAUUGUGGGUCUAAUACCUUCUUCUUUGGACAACUUCCUGAUGCUUAGUUUCAGUGCUUUGUUCUUGUUGUUAUUGAUCUUUACUCAGCAAUAUCAUAAAAGUCGCUGAUUAUUAAGUUACCCUUUUAUCUGCUAAAUACUUAAAAUAAAUAUGGUGUUAUGCAUGAACUCCCGAGUCUAGCCAUCUGUCAAAAUCUGCCUCCUCCCCCAGCCUCACCCCACAUUAGACACAGCAAUCUGUGGCUGUUUUUCUACUGAUAGAAAGGGGAAGCUCAGUGAAAGGGUAAAUAAAGCCAGAGUAAUCCACCAAACACCUUCCUUAAAUUGUCCCUUUGUAAAGGAUAGCACCACUAGCUGGACUCAUUACUGAGAGAAAAAGAUUCAGCAAAUGUUAUAGUGGGAUAACAUAUAUUGUUUAUUAACCUGACUCUCUGACUGUGCCCAAAGGCAAACAUUAGAGUAGUUGUACCAAGGAAACAUCUACCUGAAAGGUUCUAUCAAGAGAACCUCUGGCUCUAUUCUCCAAUAAUUGGAUCAUCUCAACAAGUAGAGAUUUAGCUCUGAGUUCUACAUCUCUUUCUCAACUAUACUCGAAAUUUAAGUGCCCCACUUUGAGCCAUGUUUUCAUGUCCAAAUAUAUUAUUUAAACUUUGUGAAAGAUGUAACUAUUUGAUCCUUGACAGAAUGUCCAUUGAACAAGCUGGCUCUUGUUCCUUGCCCUUGCAUUCCCACAUCUAAAUAAACUCUACACUGGGGUUGAAUCAUUGGCUCAGCAUCUUGUUUUCUUUUUGCUUGCCUGGAUGAUUGCCCAGCCACUAAAUGUCACAAAGGUCCCUUAACACAUGGUCCCGCCCCCCACACUGUAAGAGUGUAUAGUCAUAGUGAGAUGAACAUGUUAUUAUUUAUAUCAUUUAAAUGCUGAUGGGAUUCCAGAGAAUGAUAUUAUGUUGGCGGUCUUCGCGGUGGUGCUGUAAAUCCUGCUACCACAAUCCCUGUGUGUUUUUUGGUUCCCAUUCCUUCUGUUUUUGUUCAUUUCUUUUAAUAAAUGAAAAUACUUGGAAGGCUGGCAUGCUGUAAAACGUGGCAUCGACCGUAAAUGCAAUCCACCUUUUCAGGAAUACAACAAAGAAAAAUGCAAUUAAGUGAGGUUGGCCCUGGAGAGAAUUAACAAAGGGGUGAGGAAAGCAGGAGAUACCGCAAUAAGGAGACAUAAACAACUGCGGUGUGAAACUGACUGGAGAGAAAACUUUUCAGCAGGCAAAAAAGGAACAAGAGCUUACAUUUCUUUCAGUACGAUCACUUUGUUGAAAUAGGCAUUUUAUGCUAUCCAUUCAUAGAAAAACACCAAUUUUUUGAGUUGGCACGCUCCCUCACAGCCAGCUUUUUUGUGAAAAGUCCUACGACUUCAACUCCGAAUGAGUCACUUAUUUAAAUUGUCUCAUAUUUGAAAUGUUAUUGUCUUGUUUAUGUCAUAUGUAUAAAUAUAUGAUUAAGUUGUGCGGUUCAUCAUGAUUCAAUACAAUUUAGAAGAAUAUAAUGCACGUAAUCAUAUUGUCAUUGUUCAUUUUGUUACAAGCAUAUUUCAUUAUGUUGUAUUAUUGAUAUUACUUAAACCAAAAUUCUAGC